rnacentral:rRNA from 1 species
GGACAGAUGAUUAGGGUGAAGUCGUAACAAGGUAGCCGUAGGAGAACCUGCGGCUGGAUCACCUCCUUUCU